ensembl:snRNA U1 U1 spliceosomal RNA
AUAUUUUCCUGACAGGUGAGACACCAUGAACACGAAGGUGGUUUUCCCAGGACGAGGUUCAUUCAUUACACUGUGGAUGUGCUGACCCCUGAGAUUUCCCCAGAUUUGGGAAACUCGACUGCAUAAUAUGUGGCAGCGGGGGACUGCGUUUGCUUUCUGCCCUG